rnacentral:rRNA from 1 species
UACGGAGGGUGCGAGCGUUGUCCGGAAUUACUGGGCGUAAAGGGCUCGUAGGCGGCCCUCUCAGUCGGAUGUGAAAUCCCCAGGCUCAACUUGGGAACGGCAUCCGAUACUGGAGGGCUUGAAUUCGGGAGAGGGAUGCAGAAUUCCAGGUGUAGCGGUGAAAUGCGCAGAUAUCAGGAGGAACACCGGUGGCGAAGGCGGGUCUCUGGGCCGAUACUGACGCUGAGGAGCGAAAGCAUGGGUAGCGAACAGG